rnacentral:lncRNA from 1 species
AGUUUGAAGGAGCCAUUCUAGCUCAGUAUGCAUUCAGCAUUGAAUUCUUUCAUUUUGAAAAACGGAAGUCUUGAUAGAUUUCAUUCGGCAUCAUCUGAAGCAGAUUGUCUGCACAGAUACAAUAUGUCACCAAACGAGUUCUCCUCUCAGACGAGUGGUACGGGACCUAGCCGUAUUGACGGCGGUGGAGGCGAGGUGUAGACCCGCUGGCUAAACCUUCUACAUGCACCAGUCCGGAGAUCUAGCUACGUCGUUGAUCGAGGCCAACUUAUAGCCAAUCAGCGAUGGACAGACGGUCAGACGGAAGGAAGGGGGAAUAGCCAGCAAAAUGUCUACAAUUUGUUACUUCAACUACUGUUUUAAAUUAACAUUUCACCUCAUAGACGCUGAAUUUAUAUUUAAUAUUUAUAAUUAUUUAAUAUGCUAUACGCAUUAGCAUUGUUUAAGCGGUCCUAAUAAAUACAUUACGGAACAAAUUGUACAGCGCUUUUUACCUGCAAGGGUUUAUUAUAUGCGCUUUACCAGAUACCCUUAGGAGUUUAUAACGCAUUUUGGUAUGCUUUACAUUCCUGCUUCUUUUUUCAAUUAAUAAUAUACUGAUGAGAAUUAUUGUAUUGCUUCGUAAAAAUCAAAGUAUUUACUGUUGACUCUAUAAUUAAUGUAAGUUAAUUUCAUUUCAUUUUGACAGUCGCCCUAUGCGACUACCCCCUCUUUGCCAGCUUAUUUAGUGGACCUCUUUGAAAACCAACUUUUGUCGAAAGGGCUCAUCCACCCAAUUUAUGUUGUGAAUGAAUAAUUGGAUAAACAUUACUUUAAUUCUUUUGAAGAGGGUAUAUUCAUUAUACUAAAAGUCGUGGGUAUUAAUGCAUAUAACAUCGGAUACAAAGUCGAAUUGAUCAAUGCUAAUUUUUUUUUCUCGCAAUUAUGUUAAAGAUACUAACAAGGAGCUGGAACUACAAUACCAUGAUACAACGAAUUUGUAAACAUGUGAAGUGCGACUAAAAAGGCCUCGAAAAAAAA